CCCCAGACUCCUACGGGAGGCAGCAGUGGGGAAUAUUGCACAAUGGGCGCAAGCCUGAUGCAGCCAUGCCGCGUGUAUGAAGAAGGCCUUCGGGUUGUAAAGUACUUUCAGCGGGGAGGAAGGUGUUGUGGUUAAUAACCACAGCAAUUGACGUUACCCGCAGAAGAAGCACCGGCUAACUCCGUGCCAGCAGCCGCGGUAAUACGGAGGGUGCAAGCGUUAAUCGGAAUUACUGGGCGUAAAGCGCACGCAGGCGGUCUGUCAAGUCGGAUGUGAAAUCCCCGGGCUCAACGUGGGAACUGCCUUUGAAACUGGCAAACUGGAGUGUGUGAGAGGAUAGUGGAAUUCCAGGUGUAGGAGUGAAAUCCGUAGAUAUCUGGAGGAACAUCAGUGGCGAAGGCGACUAUCUGGCACAUAACUGACGCUGAGGAGCGAAAGCGUGGGUAGCAAACAGGAUUAGAUACCCCAGUAGG
rnacentral:rRNA from 1 species